AGAGGAGUAGCUCAGUUGGUAGAGCGUAUGAUUCCAAAUCAUAAUGUCGAGGGUUCAAGUCCUUCCUUCUCUG
rnacentral:tRNA from 1 species